rnacentral:misc_RNA from 1 species
CAGUAAAGAAAAGAGGGAAGAGCAUAAUCUCCCCCUUUCUUUUAUUACAAGGUCAUGGAUUAGAAGCACAAACUUCAAUACUCACUGGACAAGGGCGCAUGGUCGCUAGGGAUGUACAAGUUUCCAUAGAUGAGACCAGCUACCCCACCUCCAAUAAGCGGCCCGACCCAGUAGACCCAGUUGUCGUGGAAGUCACCGCUAGCGACGGCUGG